UGUGGGUUGGUUUGACACCACCUAUAAAUUGAACCGAAAUAAGUGCAGCCCGAACUACGGACAUGACUCAAUAUGCAGAGGAGCCAUAUGUGCGAUCUGGGAGCCAUAGCACCAACAACUGGCAAGGGAAACGCCCCAAGUCAACAUGUGUCAAUUACCGCUUGACUUUGUUUUGACAGCCAGUGAAAUAGGUUAGUUUCCAGAGUCGAGAAGGAAAGUGCCCGGAAAUAGGAUAUUCUCGUUGCCGGUUCUUGGUUCGAAAUAGUAAGUAUACGCCGUGUGUGCAUCACGGGCAGAUUCCCAUUGAUUCUGUCGCCAGUCGAUGGCAACAAACUUUAGUGCUGAUUUAUGGUUGCGGUGCGGUUAGAAAAAUAUGCAGGGGAAAAGUUUUCGCCAGACAAAGGGCAUGUGCUGGUGGAAAUCCUUUUGGCAGCCAGCGAAGCGCGAAUUGCGAGUCAGCUUUGCAUAUGCAAAUUAAUUGGUAACCGCAAAAACAUAAUUACCGGCAGAUAUGUAUGUUUUCCAUACCAAUCAAAAGGCUUCAAGAAAUUAAUCAGAACCGUCUGGCAUGUGUUUGCCUGUGAUUCAAAGAAUUCAUCGACAAGGAGACAAUUAAUUACAGCCAUUACAGACAUUAGUUCAGCGAUUGCUCAUCGUCGACUUUAAGGAACAGCGAAAACAGAAAGGCAACUGUGUGAGCAAAGCCAGAGA
rnacentral:sRNA from 1 species